AGCCUCCUCUAUCCCGGAAGUUGAUACCGCUCGCCCGAUCGCGUGCUGCUCGCUAGGGGUGUCGCCUUAGAGAUCGGGACUGGCUGGGAUUGCGAAAGAUCAACAUGCCUUUGGCUAGAGAUUUACUACACCCGUCCUUGGAAGAGGAAAAGAAAAAACA